rnacentral:rRNA from 1 species
AUUGAACGCUGGCGGCAUGCUUUACACAUGCAAGUCGAACGGUAACAGGUCUUCGGAUGCUGACGAGUGGCGAACGGGUGAGUAAUGCAUCGGAACGUGCCCAGUCGUGGGGGAUAACGCAGCGAAAGCUGUGCUAAUACCGCAUACGAUCUAUGGAUGAAAGCGGGGGACCGUAAGGCCUCGCGCGAUUGGAUCGGCCGAUGUCGGAUUAGGUUGUUGGUGGGGUAAAAGCCUACCAAGCCGACGAUCUGUAGCUGGUCUGAGAGGACGACCAGCCACACUGGGACUGAGACACGGCCCAGACUCCUACGGGAGGCAGCAGUGGGGAAUUUUGGACAAUGGGGGCAACCCUGAUCCAGCCAUGCCGCGUGCGGGAAGAAGGCCUUCGGGUUGUAAACCGCUUUUGUCAGGGAAGAAACGCUCUGGGCUAAUACCCCGGGGUAAUGACGGUACCUGAAGAAUAAGCACCGGCUAACUACGUGCCAGCAGCCGCCGUAA